rnacentral:lncRNA from 1 species
UUAUCUUCACUUGCACACGAACACUCUUAUCUUCACUCGCACACGAGUACUUUCAUCUUCAUUUGCACACCGACACUUUCGCACUUUUCUUUAAAUUGCAUACAUGCAUUUUUUGCCCACUUGCACUUGGAGUAUAUAUAUUUGCAUUCAAAGACAUUUGCACACCUCCACUUGUAUCGUAUUUUAUCAAUCUUCCCACUUCACACAAACUCACACUUUCACAUGGCAUGCAUUCCACUCAUUUUUUACGUCAUUUAGGUUUAGGUGUGACCUCUCCAAAAGGAUCAUUAUUGUGCUUCACAAUUAAUGUGAUUGGCACCACUCAACCUUUGAAGAGAAAUUUCCCCCAUGUCCCCCU